GAUGAACGCUGGCGGCGUGCCUAAUACAUGCAAGUCGAACGCUGGAAAUCUAGCUUGCUAGAUUGAAGGAGUGGCGAACGGGUGAGUAAUACAUAAGCAACCUACCCACGAAGACUGGGAUAAUCUCUGGAAACGGGGACUAAUACCGGAUAGGUAAUCGUAAGGCUUCUUCUGAUUAUUAAAGGUUAAAAACACUGGUGGAUGGGCUUAUGGCGCAUUAGUUAGUUGGUGAGGUAACGGCCCACCAAGACGAUGAUGCGUAGCCGGCCUGAGAGGGUGAACGGCCACAUUGGGACUGAGACACGGCCCAGACUCCUACGGGAGGCAGCAGUAGGGAAUUUUCGGCAAUGGGGGAAACCCUGACCGAGCAACGCCGCGUGAGUGAUGACGGCCUUCGGGUUGUAAAGCUCUGUUGUAAGGGAAGAACGGUAGAUAGAGAAUAUCUAAAUGACGGUACCUGACCAGAAAGCCACGGCUAACUACGUG
rnacentral:rRNA from 1 species